rnacentral:lncRNA from 1 species
GUUGAUGCGUAGUCGUUGAUAGCACCAAAAAUAACUCUACUCACUACGUAGGUAGGAUGAGUCGAGAUCGUAUCCUCAGGGACUUUGGGCUAAGUUGAGAUUGCAAAAGAAAGAAACAUUAUUUUGAUUUAGAAAAUAAAUUAUCUUAAAAUUGAUGUAAUUAGAAAAUAAAGAGCUCGGGAGUUUUGAAUUAAUUUGUACUAGCAGAGUUGUAUCUCUUUUUUAAUUAAAUAGAUGCUAUUAAUCUUAGGAAAAAUACCUAUCUUUUCUUGGCACACCUCGUACCCGU